rnacentral:rRNA from 1 species
AACGGCCGUACCAUGCUGAAUAUACCGGUUCUCGUGAGAUCACCGAAGUCAAGCAUCAUUGGGCGCGGUCAGUACUUGGGUGGGUGACCACCUGGGAACACUGCGUGUCGUU